CAUUUCUUAGACAUAGCACUAUAUGUGGCUGCUAUCAUAUUCUAUAACACUGGUAUGAAGUUUUUGAUUCUUUGUUAUCAUGAAGUAUUUCAAACUAUUGCAUAUUUGCACAACACAACAAGGAUUAACCGACACUAGGGGGAUUUACCUUCUUUAGCUCUUCAAAAGUAAGAAUUGAUAUAGAUUGCAUAGUGUCAUAUUAACAAUGAUAAAGAUUUCUCCUCCACUUAGCCUAUUAUUGUGUCUAGUAGAUUCUCCAUGCAUUAUGCUAUCAAUGAAGUUAAAAUUCACAACCCAACACAGUUAUCAUGAAGUAUUUCAAACUAUUGCAUAUUUGCACAACACAACAAGGAUUAACCGACACUAGGGGGAUUUACCUUCUUUAGCUCUUCAAAAGUAAGAAUUGAUAUAGAUUGCAUAGUGUCAUAUUAACAAUGAUAAAGAUUUCUCCUCCACUUAGCCUAUUAUUGUGUCUAGUAGAUUCUCCAUGCAUUAUGCUAUCAAUGAAGUUAAAAUUCACAACCCA
rnacentral:lncRNA from 1 species